AGACUGCAGAUUAGGUUUUCCAUAUAAACAAACAUGUUUCUAACUUUUUUAACGAAACGAAAGAACCUGAUGGUAAGCUUAUAGCAAAAGUAAAAGACGUGAUUGCAAUUUAUUUUUUAAAAAUAGCAAGAUGAAAGUGUUAAUUAAAAAAAAAUUACGCAUGAUAAAUUUUCAGAGUAAUAUUUUAACUUACGGAGCUAGAGCUGGAGGAGCCAGAACGGUGAAGCUGACCAGACUCUCCGUAGUGUUCUUGGCGGUGUCCCAUGCCAAGGCCAGUAGUACCAGUCUCUGGUGCGCCACCGUAUGCAGUGGUAGUACCAGUUUGAGGGAUUGGAUUACCAUACUCGUCUGUUUGGCGUAUUGCGCGACCGUAUUCGUCUACUGGAUUGCCGUAUUCGUCCGUAUAGUUAACUGCGCCAUAUUGGUUUUGAAAGUGAGCCAUUUUGUGAACGCAAACACAAAC
rnacentral:lncRNA from 1 species